rnacentral:tRNA from 1 species
GGAGGUAUAUCUCAGUGACAGAGCAAGUGAUUGGCGAGCACGAGGUCCUGGGUUUAAUCCCCAGUGCCUCCG